rnacentral:rRNA from 1 species
GACGAACGCUGGCGGCGUGCUUAACACAUGCAAGUCGAACGGAAAGGCCCUGCUUUUGUGGGGUGCUCGAGUGGCGAACGGGUGAGUAACACGUGAGUAACCUGCCCUUGACUUUGGGAUAACCUCAGGAAACUGGGGCUAAUACCGGAUAGGAGCUCCUGCUGCAUGGUGGGGGUUGGAAAGUUUCGGCGGUUGGGGAUGGACUCACGGCUUAUCAGCUUGUUGGUGGGGUAGUGGCUUACCAAGGCUUUGACGGGUAGCCGGCCUGAGAGGGUGACCGGCCACAUUGGGACUGAGAUAAGGCCCAGACUCCGACGGGAGGCAGCAGUGGGGAAUAUUGCACAAUGGGCGGAAGCCGGAGGCAGCAACGCCGCGUGCGGGAGGACGGCCUUCGGGUUGUAAACCGCUUUCGCCUGUGACGAAGCGUGAGUGACGGGAAUGGGUAAAGAAGCACCGGCUAACUACGU